UACGAAGGGGGCUAGCGUUGUUCGGAAUUACUGGGCGUAAAGCGCGCGCAGGCGGCUAUCCAAGUCAGUGGUGAAAGCCCGGAGCUUAACCCCGGAACUGCCAUUGAAACUGUUUAGCUUGAGUAUGAGAGAGGUGAGUGGAAUUCCCAGUGUAGAGGUGAAAUUCGUAGAUAUUGGGAAGAACACCGGUGGCGAAGGCGGCUCACUGGCUCAUUACUGACGCUCAGGCGCGACAGCGUGGGGAUCAAACAGG
rnacentral:rRNA from 1 species